rnacentral:rRNA from 1 species
UACGUAGGGUGCAAGCGUUGUCCGGAAUUAUUGGGCGUAAAGAGCUCGUAGGCGGUCUGUCGCGUCUGCUGUGAAAACUCGGGGCUUAACCCCGGGCCUGCAGUGGGUACGGGCAGACUAGAGUGCGGUAGGGGAGACUGGAAUUCCUGGUGUAGCGGUGAAAUGCGCAGAUAUCAGGAGGAACACCGGUGGCGAAGGCGGGUCUCUGGGGCC